rnacentral:rRNA from 1 species
AACGUACCUUUCAGUGGGGGAUAACGUAGCGAAAGUUACGCUAAUACCGCAUAUUCUGUGAGCAGGAAAGCAGGGGACCUUCGGGCCUUGCGCUGAUUGAGCGGCCGAUAUCAGAUUAGCUAGUUGGUGAGGUAAAGGCUCACCAAGGCGACGAUCUGUAGCGGGUCUGAGAGGAUGAUCCGCCACACUGGAACUGAGACACGGUCCAGACUCCUACGGGAGGCAGCAGUGGGGAAUUUUGGACAAUGGGGGCAACCCUGAUCCAGCCAUGCCGCGUGAGUGAAGAAGGCCUUCGGGUUGUAAAGCUCUUUCGGCCGGGAAGAAAUCGCAUCAGCUAAUACCUGGUGUGGAUGACGGUACCGGAAUAAGAAGCACCGGCUAACUACGUGCCAGCAGCCGCGGUAAUACGUAGGGUGCGAGCGUUAAUCGGAAUUACUGGGCGUAAAGCGUGCGCAGGCGGUUUGUUAAGAUAGGCGUGAAAUCCCCGGGCUCAACCUGGGAACUGCGUUUAUGACUGGCAGGCUAGAGUAUGGCAGAGGGGGGUGGAAUUCCACGUGUAGCAGUGAAAUGCGUAGAGAUGUGGAGGAACACCGAUGGCGAAGGCAGCCCCCUGGGCCAAUACUGACGCUCAUGCACGAAAGCGUGGGUAGCAAACAGGAUUAGAUACCCUGGUAGUCCACGCCCUAAACGAUGUCAACUAGGUGUUGGGUGGGUAAAACCAUUUAGUACCGGAGCUAACGCGUGAAGUUGACCGCCUGGGGAGUACGGCCGCAAGGUUAAAACUCAAAGGAAUUGACGGGGACCCGCACAAGCGGUGGAUGAUGUGGAUUAAUUCGAUGCAACGCGAAAAACCUUACCUACCCUUGACAUGGCAGGAAUCCCUGAGAGAUCAGGGAGUGCUCGAAAGAGAACCUGCACACAGGUGCUGCAUGGCUGUCGUCAGCUCGUGUCGUGAGAUGUUGGGUUAAGUCCCGCAACGAGCGCAACCCUUGUCAUUAGUUGCUACGAAAGGGCACUCUAAUGAGACUGCCGGUGACAAACCGGAGGAAGGUGGGGAUGACGUCAAGUCCUCAUGGCCCUUAUGGGUAGGGCUUCACACGUCAUACAAUGGUACAUACAGAGGGCCGCCAACCCGCGAGGGGGAGCUAAUCCCAGAAAGUGUAUCGUAGUCCGGAUUGUAGUCUGCAACUCGACUACAUGAAGUUGGAAUCGCUAGUAAUCGCGGAUCAGCAUGUCGCGGUGAAUACGUUCCCGGGUCUUGUACACACCGCCCGUCACACCAUGGGAGCGGGUUUCACCAGAAGUAGGUAGCUUAACCGCAAGGAGGGCGCUUACCACGGUGGGAUUCGUGACUGGGGUGAAGUCGUAACAAGGUAACC